ACAUUUAAAUUGAUGACCCAUUUGCUGUACUCACGGAUGGUGUAAGCCUCGUCAGUAAUCCGUAGACACGCUUUUGCAGGGUAUUAUAAACUACCAUUUGCCCAAAGUUUUGAUGGGGAAUGAUGCUGAGCUGGGCACAUGACGUCAUAGCAUUUGCCAAUAUGUAAACAAACAGCGCAAGGAUCAGCUGGUGUCCGCCUAAAAAAAUAAGCAUUUAAUCUUGUGUGGUGCGACAGAAGGGAUUUAAAAUAUGUAUCUUCGGUGGAUUUCUCAAAGCUGAUGCAGUUGAUCCCGCAAUGUUCGGUGAGAAAAAGAGCAUCUGAAGGAAAAACGGAUGUCGAGCGCUCUGUGCUUUCAAAGGCAAGAGUGUUUCUUGCUAGGUCAGUGGGAUCAGGAUGUUUUAGCCUCCUGGGGAGUAAACCUUGAACUGAGUCCGGUUUCUGGUUUUUAUCCUCCUUGAUCCGGGACCCAGACGCUGGUCUGCUCUCCUGCAGGUAGUCUUCUGUUUGUCCCUGUGCUGUGUGGCCAGCCCGGGCAGCGUCAGUGAAGCAGAGAGUGCGGAGUUGAUGGGAGGACCAUGUGGAACCUCACGGAAACAGACAAUCAUAAGGCCACCCUUCCGCAGUGUGUUCUGUGGGAGGCGCUCUCCAGAGAACCCGUCACCCAUGCACACAGUUACUGCCGCCCUAGCCAGCAUCUCCCAGUUUGAUGAUGGAGGCACACUACCUCCUGCCUUUGCCAGCCCUCAGGAGAGGCUUACGUCCUGCUCCGGGGAGCUCUGGACUGGAGUGGUGAUGAGCUGCAGGUGCACAGAAAGGUGCUACCCACAUCUGCUCCUUCUUCUCUGCUCUUCU